rnacentral:rRNA from 1 species
CCUACGGGCGGCAGCAGUGGGGAAUAUUGCACAAUGGGGGAAACUCUGAUGCAGCGACGCCGCGUUAGUGAAGAAGGAUUUCGGUAUGUAAAGCUCUAUCAGCAGGGAAGAAAACGACGGUACCUGUCUAAGUAGCCCCGGCUAAAUACGUUCCAGCAGCCGCGGUAAUACGUAGGGGGCCAGCGUUAUCCGGAUUUACUGGGUGUAAAGGGGGCGGAUAGGGUGGGGCAAGUCUGAAGUGAAAGGCAGGGGCUUAAGCCCUGAACUGCUUUUGAAACUGCCCCGCUAGAGUGCUGGAGAGGUAAGUGGAAUUCCUGGUGUAGCGGUGAAAUGCGUAGAUAUUAGGCAGAACACCGGUGGCGAAGGCAGCUUACUGGUCUAUUACUGACGUUGAGGCACGAAAGCGUGGGGAGCAAACAGGAUUAGAUACCCCUGUAGUC